UGGAAGUUAUUCUGGAAAACGGGGAAGUCGGAAUCCUUAGAGGAGCUGCCAACGUGCAUUUGCCUGAGUUCCUUCAGCAGUGGGGAAGAGAGGGAGAAUUCCAGACACGUCAUCCUGAUUUCACAGGCCUGCAGAGAUGUCCAGAGUGGCCUGAUCCAUCUGUGGGAGGAACAAAGCUGUGGGAUCACAGGAGAUGUGGGAGCUCAGUGCUCCCUGGUCCAGAGAGCAAGUGGGAUGGUGGGAAUUAUUAGAGAAGAAAUAGAGGAAAACCACAAAAGGCUUCUUGAUACCACUCUAAACCCAUCCCAUAUCUGUGAGGUUGCUCACAGAGCAAAACCUCCCUGCAGGAUCUGUUUUGUAAAUCUGCCAAAAGGUGAAGACAAACACUUUAUCUGCGAGGGAAUAUUCAUUUAUGGGGCUUCAGUGGUGACAUAGAUUUGAAAAAAGGAAAAUAAUCUUAAAUCCUUCCUCAGGAGAGAGAUUUACUCACAGUUCUAUUCAGUGGGAUUGCUUUGAGUCUGGGAGUUCUCAGCUCAUGAAGAACUUCCUGGCUGAGGGGAUAAAGACAUUAAAGCCUUUGCCCACUCAGGGCAAUUGCUCUGGAGACAAACACAGUUCAGAAAACAAACGUUCUGAGCUACCUGGAAGUUCUGGUUCACUAAACACAUGAAGAGCCAGAGAUCCUUCUGAACCUGCAAGUGAAAUUUAUUCUCAAGGUGAUGCUCGAGCUCAUUAUCUGCUCCUCUUUCUAAAUGUAAAGUAAGGAGUGAAAGGCCCAAGUAUUCCAUAUAUAACAGCUGACAUGUUCCCUGCAUUCCUGUGUUUGCCUAGGAAGUCAUGGAUAAUCAAUUUGAUGUGCAAAAUACACUGCAGGGAUGAAUUCUGAGCCACAGCACUUGCCAUGCCUGUGCUGUUCUGAGAGACAGAAACUUCCAGGAAAGGAACACCAGUGAAAACCUUCCUGAUCAUUCUCCCAUCAGGUUUUUUUUUCCAAGGAUGUGUCUGGAGGUGGAUUCUCUAGACAGUGUUUGGGUUUUUUCUACCCCUUGAGUGGCUGGUUCUGUGUGUGUCAGUUAUUUUCUCACUGUUUUUCUUCCUGUAUUAGAAAUCAAAAUUACUUCAUCAGGGUAUACAUAUAUUUAUAUAUAUAUAUAAAUAAUCACUAUAAUCCCAACUAGGAAAAGCUAACCUGAAACAUUUACUUUUCAGAUUUAUUAUUUAAAUAUAUGUUUGAAAUAAUUAAAACAAUUCCCUACAUGUAUUACAAAUAACUUCCCAUCUUAUUACUGUGGGGAAGCAGAACAGGCAGGAAGCAGCAGCAGACAGAUGUGAUUGUAACAGAGGUUCUCAUUUAAUUAAUAAUAGAUUGGUUGUAAUGAGACUUAUGGUCUUCAUAAACUCCUAGAAUGUUUUUAACACAACCAAAGUAAGUAAGUUUAAAGUCUGAUUUAUUAGUCUUAACCCUCUCAGAUAAUUUUUUGCCUUGUUUAUUUUCGAGGACAAACCCCAACAUUUAUCUUAUUUUGAGAGAUUUUCCCACAAACCAGAGUAUCUACGGUUCUAGCAAGAAAAAAAAAGGGAAAUUUGCAUGGAUAAAAAAAGAUUGAGUAACAAUCCUGAUGGUGUGGAAAAACUGAGGUGGCAAAAUAUCUGGAGCCUCAUCUUGAAGAGCCUUGGAAGGGCCAAAAAGGUUCUUCCUUUUCCAGGUCACUGCCAGGUUUUAGAAGAUACAAUUUUUCAGCAUCUAAAGCAGGAAAUCCCAGUUAUUUUCCAUGAGAAGAAGCACAGGGAUGACAGGGCUUCCCCCCAGAACACUCCCUGGGUAAUUGCUGAAGACAUUCCAAGCCACUCUAACAAAGUGCACUGUCUGCCAGUCAUUCUGUUCUCCUUGGAAGACCAUCUGUUGCACUUCAAAUAUGUAAAGGUCUGCUAUCAUUUAUUGCUCCAAACAAAUCCACUCCUUUGUCUCAUGGGCUGGAGCUCCUGAAUGGGGACUAGAGGUGGUUUUGGUCACGGAGGGCAGGAUAUUCAGGAGAUUCCCUUUUGUUGCUCUGUAAGUGAAAGGUGCUCACUCAGCUCAAAUUUCAGAGCACAAACAGUGAUUAAACUGACUUCAGUGCUUUUGAAUAAUUUCAAUUUAUUUGGCAACAAAUCGUGAACAACAACAACAACAAUCUGAACUGUAGUUUCUGUUAACUCAGCCAGAAGCACAUUGUAAGAUUUUUGCUUCUGGUGAACAAACCUUUCCAUUGUAGUGGUAUCCAGACUUGAUACACACUGACAUUUGAAUUAACAUUAUGUUAUUUUAACUAAAUUGCUUAAUUAGCUUAUUUGUGGCUGAAACUAGUGAUUCAAAGAAACUUUCAGCAGUGAAAAAUAGGGUCAGCAGCUCAAAAUGCAAGAACCUUUCUUCUGGUAGGUAAACACAUCCUUUACAGGGAUGUAACACUUGCCUGUACAGUCUUUAUUUAUGAGUUAACUGGGAUCCUUUCCAUGAAUUAAAUGAGCAAGAUCAGGCAUUAAAUGAUGAUUUCUCUUUGUUUUUCCUGCUGCAGAUUUUAAAGAGGCUGUACAACCCCUCCUCUCAGAUUGGAGAACAUAAGCAUUGUAUUUUCACAGCAGAGAAGUUCUGUUCAGAGAUUUCCAGCCAGGGAAACACAUAACAAUUUCUGUGUGAUUAGGGAGUGGUCCUGUCUUUUUCCCUUUUUUUUUUCCUCUGUCCCUUCUCCUCCCUGCAUAGCAGUUAAUGUUCUGGUCAGAAGGAAUAAUAUGUUAGAUCUUGAAUGUCAGUAGCCCCAGAGAUUCUGACAAGACUAUUCAUGUGCAUUCAUACGUCUUAACCAAAGCUGACACUAAAGAGAGCAAGAAUCCUCAUAUUCCUCUUUUUAUUGCUGUGCAUUAAACUCAAAUCUUCUCUUGGAGACCUCUGCUGAAAAAUGACAUAUUCCCCAUUUGAAAAAGGCUUUCUGGCAGGGUCUAAACAAAGCAGCUGGACAUCAACGUGGCCCAGGGCAGAAAGCUCCCACAGUUUGGUUUACACCCCAGUUAUGGACACCUACCAAAUGCUGGGAGAUAAAUCCUGAUGGGAAACAAACAGUAGUGUUUUUGUUGUAAUUUUUAUAAUUUAAAAAUUAACUGGUCUUCUAAUUUCUUGAAAUCUUACAGGAAUGCUUGGAUUCUGGUAACCUGAGGUGGAUGUUUUCUGAGAAACACCCCCUGUGUGAAUGCUCUGCUCUCCCAUUUCCCCCAGACAUGUUUUACACAUACUUCUAGCACAGUUUACAGCACGUGUCUGGGUAAUUUUGCAGUGAUCUGAUCGUGUUGUUAAAGCCAGGUAGGCAAUUUUUACAGCAAUGAUAGUUUUAAUCUUCUUUUUUAUAAUUGUUUGGUAGCAGUGACUAACACAGCCUUGGUGGCUCUGGGCACCUCGCCAUUCUUAGGUAGUUUAAUUUGUUAAAAAUUAUCUUCCCUCCCACCCAAAUCCCCUUGAAACCACUUGGAGAGGAGAAGUGUUGAACAGUUGCCAAUAAUAAGUCCUGCUGAGACCUCUGUAUCCUCCUGAUAGAACUGUUGGUGCCAACCAGGGACUGACUGGCACAGGUUUGAACUCUCCACUGCUUGAUGUAUCUGCCUCACAUGGGCCAAUUACAACAAUUCCCACCUCUGGAGCUGGAGUCGAAGCCCUUGGUCUUCCCUUCAUACCUCAGGUUGUUGGCAAUGUGUUCAGUCCUGCAAUCUCAGUUUUCUCUGAAUAAUUAAGUGGAACAUAAAUACUUUGAAAAAGUAGGAGAGAGUCUGAAUGGAAAUCAAAGGCUGAAUAAUAUCAUUGUUUUUCAUGUUGCUGUUGUUAAGCUGCAUUUCUUUCCAUUUAUUCUUUAUUUCUAAAAGGCAGCAUCUUCUUUUAAGUUUUUUACAGAGAUUCACCAGAAGGUGCUGUAGUCCAUUGGCUGUUAUAUUCAACAGUAUUUUUUAAUGUGAAUGAAAGAGCAAUAGGAAUUCCUACUUUUUUUUUUUUUUAAUGGGUUUAAAAAUAUAAAUAUUCCUCUCAAAAUAAAUACUUUUGACCAAAGUGGAAAAUCAUCCAUCCUUUACUCCUUUUGGCUGGAUGUUUCCAUAAGAAAUAGGGAUAUAACACCAGGAUGAGAGACUGGCAUUAACUACUGAGUUCCUGACAAUUCCAUUGGUUUCAAUCUGAUGCAACAGGGACCAUCUUGCCCUUGCCCCUGUUGUCUUUCCAGGAGAGUAGUUAAUUUUUAAAUUGGAGCAGCUGCAGGUUUUUUUUAACCAGUGAAGUUUCUAUUACACAAAGAUAAACCGAAGAUUGAGCACAAACUGACUUGCCUGUAGCUUUCCUAAUAUGAUUGCACUGCACAGUGUAGAUACUAAAAUUUAUAUUAAAAAUUCUCCAUGCAGUUUCCCUCUAGGGAGAGGAAGAGGGAAGGGAAAGGCUACAUGUGACAGAUGCUAAUUAUGCAGCUUAAUGCACUUCUGGAAGUUGCAGAGAUGAGAACUCUGUAAAAACCCAUCCACAAAACAAAGCCUAUUUUCAACAGCGUUUUUUUCCACAAUGCUUUGUUUUCAUCUGCCUCCUCCCUGUUUUCCAGGAGGCUUUAUUUCCCAAAGAGCACGUACAGUAUUCAAAGGGCAAGUGAUGUCCAAGGUCCAAAAUUUUCCAAGCAUGGAUGUGAGUGUUCUCCAUCGUGUCUUCCUGCUCUGUACAUGGAAUUGGGAAAGCUGGUGGCUCCCAGUCAGGACAGCCUGGGAUUGCUCCUUCAGGACUGGUGACUUCCCAACCUCUCUCCACGAGGGACGAUAAUCGCGCUGACGACGGCAGCGGCGCCGGAACUUCCGAGGUCUUGGUGUGGCCCUGGGCAGCCUUGGAGGAGCAUGUUUGGAAUGAGUCCUCCUCUUGCCAUGGUCCUCAUGUGCAGCCACCACGGAGAAAACCAUCUGUUCCCCUCGGAAGGGGGUUUGGUUCCCCAUGCCCUCCCCCGAUCCCACUCCGUCCCCAGCUGCCGUGUUUCACUGAGCAGCGAGGGAACGAAUCCCCGGCGUUAAAAAUACUCUGGGUCUAUUUAGAUGAAAAGAAGAAUCUUGCUUGCCUACACUGCCAUGCAAAAAUAGGCUCAGUGUGAGUAAAUCUUCAAAGUUUCUUUCGGUGAAAAUACCCAGCCUGGCUUUUUUUUUUUUUUUUUUUUUUUAACUUAUAUGAUAAGUUUAUUUAUAGAGUGUCCUUCUUUCCUCCUACUCCAUCAAGACAUUUGCAGGAGGUUGUCGCUCGUCUUGUUCAGGAGUCCUGAAAUAAUUUGCAGGGCCUUUGAAACAUCAUCAUGUUGCACAGUUGUGAUGCAUCGUGCUGCUGUUGCACCAACGUAUCAUAUUUUAGUGUGAAUGUCACGUUAACUGAGACAUUCAGGCCUUCCUUUUACUCCAGGUGCCUUACACUGGUUUGUAUUUUCAUUUUAACUCCGCAGUCAAAAAAUUCUGUGUAUAUAUAGUAACUUAAAAUUUUCCAUUCUACACACAAGGCAUUGCAUAGAAAAUUAAUGUGUAAUAUGAGAAGAUUAACAGGAUGCAUAUACUUUCCAAAUAUCUCUUAAAAAUAGCUUUCACUGUCACUGUAGCAUCUUAAUUCUGAAUAAUCUCACAGUCCUUCUGCAAAUCUGUGCAUAUAGUAACAGAGUAACCACCUACUUCAUCCUCUUGAACUGCACAAUAUGUAUCUGGGCAUGAAAAAAACCUUCAUUUUGGAGUAUGUUCUGCUUUGGCAGAGAGGAUGGCUGUGGGACUAGUGAGAGCACUAAUGCCUGCAUUAAAUAUUAAUGCCAGCAUUC